ACUACUUGGAUAACCGUGGUAAUUCUAGAGCUAAUACAUGCUAAAAACCCCAACUUCGGGAGGGGUGUAUUUAUUAGAUAAAAAACCAAUGCCCUUCGGGGCUCCUUGGUGAUUCAUAAUAACUUCUCAGAUCGCAUGGCCUUGCGCCGGCGACGGUUCAUUCAAAUUUCUGCCCUAUCAACUUUCGAUGGUAAGGUAUUGGCUUACCAUGGUUUCAACGGGUAACGGGGAAUUAGGGUUCGAUUCCGGAGAGGGAGCCUGAGAAACGGCUACCACAUCCAAGGAAGGCAGCAGGCGCGCAAAUUACCCAAUCCCGACACGGGGAGGUAGUGACAAUAAAUACUGAUACAGGGCUCUUUAGGGUCUUGUAAUUGGAAUGAGUACAAUUUAAACCUCUUAACGAGGAACAAUUGGAGGGCAAGUCUGGUGCCAGCAGCCGCGGUAAUUCCAGCUCCAAUAGCGUAUAUUAAAGUUGUUGCAGUUAAAAAGCUCGUAGUUGAACCUUUGGCCUGGCUGGCGGGUCCGCCUCACCGCGUGCACUCGUCCGGCCGGGCCUUUUCUUCUGGAGAACCGCAUGCCCUUCACUGGGUGUGUUGGGGACCAGGACUUUUACUUUGAAAAAAUUAGAGUGUUCAAAGCAGGCCUUUGCUCGAAUACGUUAGCAUGGAAUAAUAGAAUAGGACGUGCGGUCCUAUUUUGUUGGUUUCUAGGACCGCCGUAAUGAUUAAUAGGGACAGUCGGGGGCAUCAGUAUUCAAUUGUCAGAGGUGAAAUUCUUGGAUUUAUUGAAGACUAACUACUGCGAAAGCAUUUGCCAAGGAUGUUUUCAUUAAUCAGUGAACGAAAGUUAGGGGAUCGAAGACGAUCAGAUACCGUCGUAGUCUUAACCAUAAACUAUGCCGACUAGGGAUCGGGCGGUGUUACUAUUUUGACCCGCUCGGCACCUUACGAGAAAUCAAAGU
rnacentral:rRNA from 1 species